AAUCCCUUAAUGAGGAUCCAUUAGAGGGAAAGUUUGGUUCCAACAGCCGUGGUAAUUCCAGCUCCAAUAGCGUAUAUUUAAGUUGUUGCAGUUAAAAAGCUCGUAGUUGGAUCUUGGGUUGUAAAGGUCGGUCCACCUACUCGGUGUGCACCUGCCCUUCCGUCCCUUUUGUCGGCGGUGUGCUCCUAGCCUUAAUUGGCUGGGUCCCGGCUCCGGCGCUGUUACUUUGAAAAAAUUAGAGUGCUCAAAGCAAGCUUAUGCUCUGAAUACAUUAGCAUGGAAUAACGUGAUAGGAGUCUGGUCCUUUGUGUUGGCCUUCGGGACUGGAGUAAUGAUUAAUAGGGACUAUCGGGGGCAUUCGUAUUUCAUUGUCAGAGGUGAAAUUCUUGGAUUUAUGAAAGAUGGACCACUGCGAAAGCAUUUGCCAAGGAUUUUUUCGUUAAUCAAGAACAAAAGUUGGGGGCUUGAAGACGAUCAGAUACCGUCCUAGUCUCAACCAUAAAUGAUGCCGACCAGGGAUCGGCGGAUGUUACUCUAAGGACUCCGCCAGCACCUUCUGAGAAAUCAGAGUGUUUGGGUUCCGGGGGGAGUAUGGUUGCAAGGCUGAAACUUAAAGGAAUUGACGGAAGGGCACCACCAGGAGUGGAGCCUGCGGCUUAAUUUGACUCAACACGGGGAAACUUACCAGGUCCAGACAUAGUAAGGAUUGACAGAUUGAGAGCUCUUUCUUGAUUCUAUGGGUGGUGGUGCAUGGUCGUUCUUAGGUGGUGGAGCGAUUUGUCUGGUUAAUUCCGAUAACGAACGAGACCUCAGCCUGCUAACUAGCUACGCGGAGGUUCCCCUUCGCGGCCAGCUUCUUAGAGGGACUAUGGCCGUUUAGGCCAUGGAAGUUUGAGGCAAUAACAGGUCUGUGAUGCCCUUAGAUGUUCUGGGCUGCACACACGCUACACUGAUGCAGCCAACGAGCUUUUCUUCCUGGUUCGACAGGAUCGGGAAAUCUUUUCAAAUUGCAUCGUGAUGGGGAUAGACCAUUGCAAUUAUUGUUCUUCAAUGAGGAAUUCCUAGUAAGCGUGUGUCAUCAACUCGUGUUGACUACAUCCCUGCCCUUUGUACACACCGCCCGUCGCUCCUACCGAUUGAAUGAUCCGGUGAAGUGUUCGGAUUGCGUCGACGAUGGUGGUUCGGCGCCAUCGAUGUCAUGAGAAGUUCAUUGAACCUUAUCAUUUAGAGGAAGGAGAAGUCAUAACAAAGUUACCGUAGGUGAACCUGCGGUAG
rnacentral:rRNA from 1 species